CCCUGGCUCAGGACGAACGCUGGCGGCAUGCUUAAUACAUGCAAGUCGAGCGGAGUUGUUUUGAAAGCUUGCUUUCAAAACAACUUAGCGGCGGACGGGUGAGUAACACGUAGGUAACCUGCCUGUAAGACUGGGAUAACUACCGGAAACGGUAGCUAAUACCGGAUAAUUUGUUUCUUCUCAUGAAGAGACACUGAAAGGCGGAGUAAUCUGCCACUUAUAGAUGGGCCUGCGGCGCAUUAGCUAGUUGGUGAGGUAACGGCUCACCAAGGCGACGAUGCGUAGCCGACCUGAGAGGGUGAACGGCCACACUGGGACUGAGACACGGCCCAGACUCCUACGGGAGGCAGCAGUAGGGAAUCUUCCGCAAUGGACGAAAGUCUGACGGAGCAAUGCCGCGUGAGUGAUGAAGGUUUUCGGAUCGUAAAGCUCUGUUGCCAGGGAAGAACGCUUGGGAGAGUAACUGCUCUCAAGGUGACGGUACCUGAGAAGAAAGCCCCGGCUAACU
rnacentral:rRNA from 1 species